GACGAACGCUGGCGGCGUGCUUAACACAUGCAAGUCGAACGGUGACGCGCCUUCCUUUUUGUUUUGUGUGUAUGAGUUGCGAACGGGUUAGUAACACGUGAGUAACCUGCUCCCUUCUUCUGGAUAACCGCAUGAAAGUGUGGCUAAUACGGGAUAUUCUGGAUCUGUCGCAUCAUGGGUCUGGGAAAGCUUUUGUUUCUGUGUGGGAUGGGCUCGCGGCCUAUCAGCUUGUUGGUGGGGUGAUGGCCUACCAAGGCGCUGACGGGUAGCCGGCCUGAGAGGAUGGACGGUCACACAAGGAAGGAGAGACGGAGAAGACUACUACGGGAGGCAGCAGUGGAGAAUAUUGCACGAGGGGAGGAAGGCUGAUGCAGCGACGCGGCGGGAGGGAAGGAGGCCGUCGGGUUGUGAACCUCUGUCGCGAGUGAAGAAGGCCUGCCUCGUUUGUGGGUGGGUUGACGGUAGCUGGAUAAGAAGCGCCGGCUAACUACGUG
rnacentral:rRNA from 1 species